UUAAAACAUCGGUUCCUGUAUGAUCACCAAAGUUAAGCAAUGUUGAGCCUGGUUAGUACUUAGAUGGCUGAUUGCUUGGGAAU